CAUGAAAACCAUAUGUAAUUUUAAUUGCUUAUUUACUUGUCUUCCCCAUUAGAAUGUUAUAGACUGUUCUUGGGAAGGGAGCCUGUCUUUUAUUUUUGAGAUUCUAAAGCUUAGUAAAUAUUCAAUAAAUAGUUGUUAAGUAAAUGAAGAAAAGGAUAAAUUUUUAGUAGGGCCAUCAGGAGUUUCAUGGGAGGAAAUUCGAGGUGGAUUGUGAGGGAUUAAGAUGAGAGAAGGAGAAAAAGCCCACAAAGAAGGGAUAGCACAAACAUAGGAGAGGCAAGGGGAGGGCGCGAUUAGGGAAUGGCUGCACAUGCCUCUUGGAGUAUUGAAGUAGAAGUUAAUCUGCGCUAAGAUAAGCCAGAACUAAGUCCAGGGGUUUACUGAUACUGGACAUCUGUUUACAUUGGGAAGCCACUGAAGGUUUUUGAGGAGGAGAGUUUAAGAACUGGUUCUGUGUUUAAAAGGAUGCUUCUGGUGAUACAAUGUGGGACUGAUUAGUGAGGACAGAGACAAGAGGCUAUGCAAGCAGUUAGGAGGCUGCUGCAUUAUUACUUUGGCUGAGAAAGGUGAGGAGGCUGCAGAAGAAAAGUUGGAAGCUAGAAGAAGUUGGUUUAUGAGGUUUAACGAAAGAAGACGUCUCCAUAACCUAAAAGGGCAAGGUGAAGCAGCAAGUGCUGAUGGAGAAGUUGUAGCAGGUAAUCCAGAAGAUCUAACUAAGGGGCACACCCAGCUCCAAGAUCACCUUCCCAGGCCUCUCUUGCUAUGACAGAUGCCAUGUGACACAGUUCUAGCCAAUGAGAAGUAACCAGAACACCCUGGGUAAGACUUCUUGGAAAAUUAUUUAAAAAGGGGGAGCUGACUUUGCCCUUUCUCUUUUGCAUAGCUAGGCUGAAAAUAUAAUGCUAGAUGUGGAACUGUCGUUUCGUGACUAGAAAUAAAGGGUGUGAGAGACAAAACUACCUACUGAAGAUGGCUGGAUAGAAAGAGAGAAGAGAUUCAGAUCCCUGAAGCCAUCAUAGAGUCAACACACCAUUCCACAGCAAGAUAUAAUUCUUUUUGUGGAGCCGAAUAUAUUCCAGGCUGAUAUUCACUGCUGAAAAAUUCAGCAAUGAUUUUUUUCAGUAACAUUACAGGACAUGAUAAAAAGCAAUUAUGCAUAUGUUCAUAUUGAAGUAGUAAAUUUUCCAGGAUAAGAUAAUUAAUAUUUAUUAUUGUGCACUUAUUAGAGAUAUCAGGCACAUAUUUUUUAUACCAACUCAUUUACCCUUCAGAAUUUCACCAGCCAGCAAGUGUGAUUAUCCGUCAUGUUACAAAUGGAGAAUCUGAUGUUCAGAUAGGUUAAAAAAUUUCUCAAGGAUGCACAGUUCAUGUGCCAGAUCCCAAAGUCCAUUUGCUUUCCACCAUACAAUAUUGAAUAUAUUCACUGUUAUUGUGUUUCUUAAAUGAAUUUUACUUUAAAGAUCUUUAUGGUGAAAAAUCUCAAAAUGAAAGAAAUUAUAGAGGAUUAUAGUCUAACUAAUACCAUGAGGUCACUCUCCAACUUUAAAAAUGUUUAGGCUGGGCGCAG